rnacentral:tRNA from 1 species
GCGUAUAUGGUGUAGUGGUAGCACCGCUGUCUGUGGAACAGUGAGGAUGGGUUCGAUUCCCAUUAUUCGCCCCA